GACCGAGGUUGGCUCGAUGCUGUUCCCAGGUACUGUUGUUGGCUGUUGGUGAGGAAGGUGAAGCACUCAGUUGCCUUCUCGGGCCUCGGCGCCCCCUAUGUACGCCUCCCUGGGCUCGGGUCCGGUCGCCCCUUUGCCCGCUUCUGUACCACCCUCAGUUCUCGGGUCCUGGAGCACCGGCGGCAGCAGGAGCUGCGUCCGGCAGGAGACGAAGAGCCCGGGCGGCGCUCGUACUUCUGGCCACUGGGCGAGCGUCUGGCAGGUCCAAGGGUAGCCAAGGAUGGCUGCAGCUUCAUAUGAUCAGUUGUUAAAGCAAGUUGAGGCACUGAAGAUGGAGAACUCAAAUCUUCGACAAGAGCUAGAAGAUAAUUCCAAUCAUCUUACAAAACUGGAAACUGAGGCAUCUAAUAUGAAGGUAUCAAGACUGUGACUUUUAAUUGUAGUUUAUCCAUUUUUAUUCAGUAUUCCCUCUUGUAAACUUGAGGUAAGACACUUUACUUAAAAGUGUAUUUUAAAUUAAGCAAUAAUAUGUAAACUCUUUCUUGCAAAAGUUAGCAUUUAUAUUUUUAAAUAAGAUAUAUUGAAUUCAUUCAGUGAAUCAUAUAAAGAAAAUAAGUGUAAAACUCCAAUGGCUAGUUAGUUCUUAGUUCUUUUUAAGAUUAAAGAGAAGAGACCAAAUAUAGCAUCACUGUACUGAGGCAAGGUUUUCUGUGUAGUUCAUAGAAACUAGCCUCAUGAUUUUAGAAUAUGCCUUGAAUAUUAAGUGUAGCCUUCCUCCCCAACUCCCUCAGAUCUUGCCACCCCUUAAGUGCUGCAGUGAUAGGUGAUCAAGAAAAUCAGGAUACCCUACUGGGAAGAGCCAUGAACUGAAAGUCAGUACCUGGUUCUAUCCCUGGCUUUCCCACAAACUGAGCUAUAUGACCUCUGUAUAUUCUUCAGAACUUAAGUUGUCUUAUUUGGCAAGUACAGGCAUCACACUAGUCUAGAUGAUUUCCAUGGCACCUUCAAGCCCUAAAAUUGGCUUGCCAAAUAGUACUGAAAAGUUCUGAUCACCUCCAAGACAGGUUAGAAAAUCGUCUAUAGUGGGGAAAAUGUUCUGGUUUCAAAAUAAUUGAGGUUAAAACUUUAGCCAUUUUAAUUCCCACUUAGGCAGAUUCUCUUCUGACUGAAUUUAAUAACUUCAUAGAAUUGGACAUUAUCAACAAAAAUAUUACUUCCACCGGGUGUGAUGGCUCAGGCCUGUAAUCCCAGCUCUUAGUGAGGCAGAGGCAGGAGGAUAGCUUGAGCCAAGGAGCUCGAGACCUGCCUGGGCAAUAUAGCAAGACCCCAUUCUC
rnacentral:lncRNA from 10 species